GGAGAGUUGCCGGAGCGGUUGAACGGGACGGUCUCGAAAACCGUUGUAUCCUCACGGGUACCCAGGGUUCGAAUCCCUGACUCUCCGCCA
rnacentral:tRNA from 2 species